rnacentral:rRNA from 1 species
UACGUAGGGGGCAAGCGUUGUCCGGAUUUAUUGGGCGUAAAGAGCGUGUAGGCGGCCAGGUAGGUCAGCUGUGAAAACUCGAGGCUCAACCUCGAGACGUCGGUUGAAACCACCUGGCUGGAGUCCGGGAGAGGAGAGUGGAAUUCCUGGUGUAGCGGUGAAAUGCGCAGAUAUCAGGAAGAACACCCGUGGCGAAGGCGGCUCUCUGGGACGGUACUGACGCUGAGACGCGAAAGCGUGGGGAGCGAACAGG